rnacentral:rRNA from 1 species
CGGUCCCUAUCUGUCGUGGGCGUUGGAUAUUUGAGAGGACUUGACCUUAGUACGAGAGGACCGGGUCGAACGUACCUCCGGUGCAUCAGUUGUCCUGCCAAGGGCAUAGCUGGGUAGCCGCGUACGGAUGAGAUAAACGCUGAAGGCAUCUAAGCGUGAAACUCACCUCAAGAUGAGAUAUCCCUCCAACUUCUAGUUGGUAAGGUCACUUGUAGACUACGAGUUUGAUAGGUCGAAGGUGGAAGUGCAGUAAUGUAUGCAGCUGAUCGAUACUAAUAGACCGAGGGCUUGAACUU